UCUCUUUCUCCUAUAUAUUUGAUUUUUUUGUUUAUAAAACUAGUGUUCGGGCUAGUGGAUAUUAGAUGUUCCACCAUUUUGCUUCAUGUUGAAAUGUUGACUAGAUUUCCCUUUACCGGACAUUUUCUACCAUGGGUUAUAUCCAAGUGAAGAUUCAAAUUUCCGACCCCAACUUUCAUGUGACUGAAGCAUAGUUGUUGUUGUUGGUUAUAUCCAUAUGGUUUUCAACUGAUUCUAAAUGGACAUUUUCUACAAGAGAUAUUUAGGCUUGUUCUUAACGAAGAGGUCUUUUCAAAUGAUAAAACAACAAAAUGGCCCAGAGUAAUAAAGAUACCUUUUGGGGAGAAAGUUAUACGAAUGAAAAAAGAAUAUUAUUCCUGUAUCUGGUCACAGAACUUCGUCAUCAGUUAAAAUUGUGCUAUCAUACCAGAAUAAACAAUUCGAUUGAUCUGACUAAACCUUUCAGGUUCCAUUAGAAUUUGAAUUUUUUUAAGGUCCAGCUGCUACCCUCUUCUCUCUAUUUCAAUUUGGAAAAUUAUCUUUUAUUUGAAAGGAAUUAAUGCAACAUAUUCUGUACUCCUGCAAUUGAUGGCCAAAAGACAAACUAGAGUUGAUAAUACAUGGGGAUAUUGCUUCAUUUGUGACCAUUUUGUAGUGGGGAAAAUAGAAAUGGUAUGUUCAGAUUUUGGUGGGUUUGAAUGAAAUUUUAGAGCAUUUUACUUUAUCUCAUGAAGAGGGGAUUGUGACUAGAUUUUGUUAUCAGAGGAGGGUUAUGAAUGCCUAUUUGAAAAAUAUUAUCUGGAAAACGUGAUAUACCUUGAGAACUUCAUCUGUUAAUCUAUUUUUUUGACUUUGUGUUGGGAUUUUGUGGUCAUUUAUCAUGCGUUGCUUGUUUUAUCUUUAUCUCCUUGAAGGGUUGUUACUAAUUAGUUAUUAUUAAAGAUUUGUAUAUUGUCUGUCCUAAUCCUGAUGAAAUUUUAUUUUAAUUGUAAGAUAGAUAUGGAAGAGGGACAAAAAGUAUGAUAGCCCUAGAGUUACUUGUAUGCUUUAGGUAUAGAUGCCAAUUUGUGGAUGAACCAGCUUCACCUUGUGUUCUGUAUUUAUAUAUGUUACAUGGAUCCUCUAUCUUUGAGCCAUCUUUGCUAUGGUCGUAGACUUAAUUUAUUACAUAUACUUCCUCCACUUCAUUUGACCCUCUCAUUGCUUUUGAAUUUUUUAAUUUCAUCAUCAAUUAUUUUCUCCUUGUCAAUAUGUUGUGCUAAUGUCCUUAAACUCUAGUGUCCUGAGUAGGAACCUCUUGGCAGGAAGUAUUUAUUGCAACUAUGUUGCCAACAAAGGCUCUUUGUACCCGGUUGAGCCUCAACAUUAUUAUCAUUCAAGUGAUUCUGUUUUUCAGCAUCUUCCAUAACUUCUUCAACCUCUAACAUUGCAAAUUUGUUUCCAACUUGUACCUGCUACCUCUCACCUUGAUCUACUGGGACUAUUUCUUUCCCAGUCAUUGCUUGUGCUGCAUUCUGAUUAUUUGACUUCUUAGCUCGAUUAUCCCUAACCUCUUUCCAUUACUCCUUGCCUCUUCCAGUUACAUUACCUACAACCUUCCCACUCGACAUUACCAUUAGUGUGCCCUGCUGAUUCUGAUUUGCCUGCUCAAGUUGUUUUCCAGCAUCAUUCCCAAUAUCAUUCUCAGCUUGCUGCUCGGCAACCUUAUUUUCCAUUAAUUUUGGGUGAAGUCUCCAGCAGUCCAUCAUAUCAUGCCCCUGUAAUUUGCACUCCUUACAGUACUUGGGAUGAAUCAAGCGGCAGCUCUUAAGAGAAAAGUUCUGAAUCCAAACAAAGCUCAAAUUCCAAUGAAGAAUAUAGGUUUCGAUUUCCAAUACCGAUCAAGUGCCGAACUAGUCAAAAAAAUUCAGAUUAAGAUAGAAAAGCUUGCAAGUGAUUGCAACGACAAAACUGCUAAAGAGCAUGCAUUACUAGCAGUUAAAAGGAAGAAUUAUAUGACUGCAACAUUAGAAGGACAAAGUAGACAGAGGUUAACUAAAUCGGAUGUGUCAGUUCAAAAGUUAGGAAGGAAUAGAUUAUCGGUGUACAAAUCAAUCCAAUUAUCUUCAAGGGAAAAGCUGAACACUUCACAUAAUAUUGCAAGUAAUGGACAAAUUAAACAAAGGUCAAUGUAAUUGGAGGAGCCCAUUCAAAAGCAAGGAUUGAGUAAAUUACCUGUGCCCACAUCCAUGAUCCAAUCAUCUGCAAAGGUAGAUCCUAACACUUUACAUAUGAUUAGAAGAACACAAGGUGAUGGAGAGAAACAACUUGAUAUUUAAGAGCUACAAAAUUAUAAAAAGGUAAAGACAAACUCAAUCCUACCAUCGAGGAGUGGUAAUCAGUUUCUAAAAAAUAUGGGAUACAAGUAGGUGGUGAAAAACAUCCUGAUAAUCACCCAAAAAAUGAAGUCAGAUUUAUGUCCUCUCCUAUUAUUGAUGAGCGUGAAAUAGAAUUGGAUAAUUUUGCUGCACAAGAUGAAGUUGGUAACGAUGAAUUUAUUGGAGAUGAGGAUAUGAACAUCGAUGGUGAUGCAGGUGGGACAUCAGAGAAGAAAAGAAUUCGAGAAAAAACAACAUGCAAGAAUAUUCAAGCAAGAAGUUUUGAAGAAAGAGAGGAGAUGACAUUUUGAUAAAGGACAAGCAGUUGGGCCACUGACAAUAAAGUGUCUGAUUUAACCAACUUUUUAGGAACAAUUGCAAGAAAUCCAAGAUUUAUCCCCUUGGUGAAUACUAGUUGGCAUGCUGUGUCAAAGGAUAUUAAGCGCCGAAUAUGGGAAUAUGUCAAUCGCGCAACCAAAGAGAACAAUGAGGAACUAUCAAAGUCUGAAAUGUUUAUUACAACUCGUACAAAAAAGGGAAGGAAGUUCAUACAAAUACUCAAGUUGCAAUAUCUGAACUUCAGAAUCGUCAAAGUUCCGAAGAAACAACAGAUGAUGCAUUUAGGGUUGUAUUUGGAAAGGAGCAGCCUGGUCGGGUUAGAUGCUAUGGUAGAUCGGUGAUGACAAGCUCUCUGAAAAAAAUGAAGAAAUCACCAAGCUUAAACAAAAGCAUGCCAAUGAAAUAACUUCUCUAAAGGAAGAAAUGAUGAGAGAAGAAAUGUGAUAUUUUUUUAUUCAAUUGGUGAAAAACAACCCUGGACUGGAUUUUAAUGAUAUACAAGGGUGUGUUGGAUCUAAUAUUCCUUCACCAGUUGAUGCAAGUAGUGCACGAGCUAUGAGAGGCUAAAAUCUGCCACAGUCUUCUGGCUCAACUCACGCCCCAUGUCUUGAAAAGGAAAUACGGGCGAUGCAAUUGGAUAUGGUGGUCACAAAUCAAUUUGAUUCAUUAAAGUGAAUGGUGAAGACCUUUUGAACAAUUGGGAUGUUUAUUUUUAUUGAUUCUAUAAAUAUGAAUACAUUUGGUUUUGUAGAGGUCUCUACUAGUGAACUCUUGAACCAAUAGUGCUUUAUUACUAUAGACAGUACACAAAGUAUGUUUCUUUGUUGAAA